AUUGAACGCUAGCGGGAUGCUUAACACAUGCAAGUCGAACGGAGUGGCGGACGGGUGAGUAAUAUAUCGGAAAGUGCCCCAUAGCGGGGGAUAACUACUCGAAAGAGUGGCUAAUACCGCAUACCAUUUGAGCGGCCCAGAUCGGAUUAGCUAGUUGGUGGGGUAAAGGCUCACCAAGGCAACGAUCCGUAGCUGGUUUGAGAGGAUGACCAGCCACACUGGGACUGAGACACGGCCCAGACUCCUACGGGAGGCAGCAGUGGGGAAUUUUGGACAAUGGGGGAAACCCUGAUCCAGCCAUCCCGCGUGUAUGAUGAAGGCCUUCGGGUUGUAAAGUACUUUUGGCAGAGAAGCGGUAUCUGCAGAAUAAGCACCGGCUAACUACGUGCCAGCAGCCGCGGUAAUAC
rnacentral:rRNA from 1 species